UACGUAGGGUGCGAGCAUUAAUCGGAAUUACUGGGCGUAAAGCGUGCGCAGGCGGCUUAGUAAGUCGGGUGUGAAACCUCCAGGCUCAACCUGGAGACGCCACCCGAUACUGCUGUGGCUAGAGUCCGGUAGGGGGAGCGUGGAAUUCCUGGGUGUAGCGGUGAAAUGCGCAGAUAUCAGGAGGAACACCAGCGGCGAAGGCGGCGCUCUGGGCCGGUACUGACGCUGAGGAGCGAAAGCGUGGGGAGCAAACAGG
rnacentral:rRNA from 1 species